GAAUAAUUUUUAAUAGCCUAGUUNUGCUAAGGUAGCAUAAUAAUUUGCUUUAUAAUUAAAAGAUAGAAUGAAAGGUGUUUCUUAAAAUAAUUUUUUUAUUUUUUUUUUCAAUUUUUAAAAAAUUGAAAAUUAUUUUAUUAAUUUUUUAGACGAUAAGACCCUAUGAAACUUUAUUAGUAUAGUUUAUUACUAAAUUUAAUAUUAAUUUUUUUGGGGAAAAAUUUUAUACUUUUAUACUAUGUAAGAAAAAUCUUGAUCUUAAAAAAUUUUUAGAAAUAGUUACUCUAGGGAUAACAGCAUAAUUUUCAUAAAAGCNCUUAUUAAAANGGAAGUUUGNGACCNCGAUGUU
rnacentral:rRNA from 1 species